UACGGGGGGGGCAAGCGUUGUUCGGAAUUACUGGGCGUAAAGGGCUCGUAGGUGGCCAACUAAGUCAUACGUGAAAUCCCUCGGCUUAACCGGGGAACUGCGUCUGAUACUGGAUGGCUUGAGUUUGGGAGAGGGACGCGGAAUUCCAGGUGUAGCGGUGAAAUGCGUAGAUAUCUGGAGGAACACCGGUGGCGAAGGCGACAUCCUGGACCGGUAUUGACGCUGAGGCGCGAAAGCCAGGGGAGCAAACGGG
rnacentral:rRNA from 1 species